rnacentral:piRNA from 1 species
UGCUGACAGAACUGCUGGAUUUGGUUC